AAAAUUUAAAAUAAUUUGUUUUUUUUUUAAUUUGAGUUAUAGAAUCUAUACAAUAUAAGUACAAUAAGUAUAAAAGAUGACGAUGAAUUUGUGAAGAGAAUUGAUAAUUUGAAAAGCUGCCCACCACCAACACUCUUUUUGAAGUGAUAUUAUUUAGUAGAUGGAUUAUUAUUAAUAUAAUUUAUUCAUUUAUUUUUUUUAAUUUAAAAUAAAUUAUUUAAUAAAAUAAAUUUCAAGUAAGAAACAUCAUGAAUAACAUUUUUUCAUUAAUAUAUUCAAUUUUCGUCAAUUAUUUUUCAAGGUUUCGGCGUGUGCAUUAGCAGGUACACGACGCAACAUACAACCCAACCCAAACAAAAACGCGUUGGACUUAGUGUCAGCGAAUAAAAUAAAUGCAAUAGCAGGAACAAUAUCAUGUUAUAACAAACAUUCUUCUAUUCCUUAUGAUUCUAUAGAUGGGAACCAUAAAUUGUGGGAUAAUUUAGUCACCAGUCUAGAAAGUAUCACUAACCAAUGUUUGGAAAAUGAAUAUCAGUUGUCAGAAGAUAGUAAAAUAUUGAAUGUGGUUUUAUGUAAAAUAGAUAUAAAUAAUCCCUGUACAAUAGCUGUUCAGGCCUGUACAGUGGAUAUUUACAGCACAUUGUUUGCCAUUAGCGAAACCAAUACAAAAAAUAUUUGGAAAUCAAUGACAGAUUCAGAAAAGAAACUGAUAAAUGAUGUUAAUAAGCAUUGUUUAAAUAAUAUAAACGAAAACGUUAAAAAUGAAUUAUUCGAAAUACGAAAAGCUCAAUUAAUAAAUACUUUUCAAAAUACUACACUAAAAAACUUUAAACGGACAGAGGAAAUGGAACCUAUAGAUAUGGAAGACAUUAAAAACUCUUUACGUCUUAAGUUCAAUUAAAAAAAAAACUAGAACCAUUAAAAAAUAAUUGUUUUUUUUUUUUACUAAGCUUAAAAGAGUUAUUACUAUAAUUAUUAUAAUUAAUAUAUUAAUAGAUGUUUAAAUAUACAUAUUAUAAAAUAAACA